ACUUUUCUAUUCUCGGUUUAAUAAACUUUCUGAGUUCCAGAGACUUCUCAAAUCCUCCACCUUCUCUCUACUUUCUCUCUCUACAAUCUCCAUAAUUUCUCGGCUUAACUUCGAUGUUUUCAUGGUAUCAAAGCCUCGACGACGAUCCGAUCAUGUUUCUAUGUGCUUCGUGGUCUUGGAUGAAGUCUGUUUCGAGGUUUUUGGGGGUGAUUUCUGAGACNNN
rnacentral:lncRNA from 1 species